GGGCGGAGUAGCGACCGCCUGUAAUCGAGCGACACUAAGGGACGAGGAAUCGCUUCUUAGCCUCAUACGCCUGCUGUCUAGCAUGCUGAAGUCGGGUCCGAUCCAAGAUUGGUGUAGACAUAGGCGUUUCCGCGGAGGUGGAAACGUCUAGGUCACCUAAGGAGGGGGGGAACGCGUGCAGGCCGGAAACGGAACAGCGAAACCCCGCCGCACUCAUCAGUGGACGGAUAGCCUGAUUGAAUGCG
rnacentral:SRP_RNA from 13 species